AAUAAAGAUUUAUUAAAUAACUUUGUGUUUUCUACCUUCUUAUCUUUCCACCUACAACAAUGACAUGCCAUCACACACCGGCAUAUAUACAACAGUGAUGGUCAAAGUUUUUGUUUUGUUUAGUAGAUUCUAAUUUAAUGUUUACAAUUUUCAAAUGUUAAAAAUAAAUUACAAGGGUAUUUUACUAACUAUAGUCAAACAAUAUAUAAGUUAGUUGUUUUUUUUAUUUUCUCAUUCAUUCUUCUCAAAAGUUCUUACAAUACUUAUUAUACUAUAUUAUAUGCAAAAAAUCAC